GUAAACCACCGCUGAACCUUCUGAAGAGAUUUCUCAUCUGCACUGUUUUGCUGUAGGUGUUGCUUGUCAUGGACCCAUUUCCUGGUUCUUCUCCUUAAGGGCAUUGUUUCAACUACCCUAGCUGACUGCAUAGAAAGUCAAGGAUUCAUUCUUGCUGAAAUCUCUGAGCCAGCAUGAAGGCACUGUCAGCAGAACUCAUACGUGUUUGACUGCAACUCUGUCUGUACAGAGAAGAAGGCGGCUUUAAUAUUCACCCUUCAAGGUUAAUCAGGUCUUUAAUAAAAGACCAUGGAAAUGUCAGCAGUCUGAACAAACAAACCAGAACUGUAACCGAAUGUUCGUUCAAACAAAGAAAUAUAAACCCUCUUUAUUAAUGUUCUUCACACAGGUAGUGAUGGCAUACAGCUAUCUAUGGAAAUAUUCUCUGCUCUGAAUACUGGAUGAUGAGACUGAUGAGUGCCUAGUAACGACUGACUUAAAAUAUCUCAUUUACUGCAUCUUGAAUCCUAAAUUAGAUCUUGCUAUUACUUCCUC
rnacentral:lncRNA from 1 species